CAUUUAGUUUUCUUCAGUUUCUGCUGCUGAGGCGGCGUCGAACACUGUGACGAUCGCUACGGAACACUAGCGCCGAUAGCCGAGGCUACUGUGGACGUACUACUCCUGUUUUUUCACAAUAAAGCACAACGCCACCAAACUCAACUUCUACAUGCUGUUUCUUGCUGGUUUUACCCUCUGGUUUCUAGCUGGUCCAAUUACAAUAUGGAUGUCGAAUAGAUUUAUUGCAAAAUGGAAAAGGGCUAAGAUUCUGAAUGGUAUAGAACUUGGCACUCUUUUCUAUGGACACGCGGUUUUUCUUUCUAUUACGAGACCAGCAACUGAUAAUAGGUACUUUCCUUUCUACCUGAAAGCUAACAAGGU